CCUGGCUUUCCAACCUGCCACGGCUCUGAGGUUCAUCCAGCUUCUCUCUCCCUGCCCUCUGGGCUUUGGUCUGAUGUCUUGAUUGCAAACAGUGAUGCCCUGGUCAUGCCCUUCUGCAUGAUUCCCCAGGGGUUUCCCCAUUUUAGCUACCAUGUGUUUGCUCUCCUCCCUGCUCAGCCCGCCUCACCCCAGCAUUCUCAUCCAAUGAUUUCAUGGAGUGACUUAUGCCAUUUCUGCCUUAGGACUACAUGGCGUGGAGAGACUAAUACCUUAAACCAUGAGAGUCUGAAAUGGAACAGCUACCAGAGUCGGCAGUCACAGGGCUCGGCGAAGAAGCAGCCUAGGACCUAUCACAGAGAAGAUGGCCUUGGUGUCCUGACCACUCUCCAGCCAUCGAAGCAGUGGACUGGCCCCAGGGCGCGGGCUCCUUGGGCAAACAGUGCCCAGGAUAUUUUGGUGAGCACCGAGGGCCAGGGGUCACCGGUCCAAAGGACCCAGUGGAGUCCUCC
rnacentral:lncRNA from 1 species